rnacentral:rRNA from 1 species
UACACUCCUACGGGAGGCAGCAGUGGGGAAUUUUGGACAAUGGGCGAAAGCCUGAUCCAGCAAUGCCGCGUGAGUGAAGAAGGCCUUCGGGUUGUAAAGCUCUUUUGUCAGGGAAGAAACGGUGAAAGCUAAUAUCUUUUGCUAAUGACGGUACCUGAAGAAUAAGCACCGGCUAACUACGUGCCAGCAGCCGCGGUAAUACGUAGGGUGCAAGCGUUAAUCGGAAUUACUGGGCGUAAAGCGUGCGCAGGCGGUUUUGUAAGUCUGAUGUGAAAUCCCCGGGCUCAACCUGGGAAUUGCAUUGGAGACUGCAAGGCUAGAAUCUGGCAGAGGGGGGUAGAAUUCCACGUGUAGCAGUGAAAUGCGUAGAUAUGUGGAGGAACACCGAUGGCGAAGGCAGCCCCCUGGGUCAAGAUUGACGCUCAUGCACGAAAGCGUGGGGAGCAAACAGGAUUAGAUACCCCUGUAGUCCCAUGA